rnacentral:rRNA from 1 species
CCGAGUUUACAACUCCCAAACCCAAUGUGAACGUUACCAAACUGUUGCCUCGGCGGGAUCUCUGCCCCGGGUGCGUCGCAGCCCCGGACCAAGGCGCCCGCCGGAGGACCAACCAAAACUCUUAUUGUAUACCCCCUCGCGGGUUUUUUACUAUCUGAGCCAUCUCGGCGCCCCUCGUGGGCGUUUCGAAAAUGAAUCAAAACUUUCAACAACGGAUCUCUUGGUUCUGGCAUCGAUGAAGAACGCAGCGAAAUGCGAUAAGUAAUGUGAAUUGCAGAAUUCAGUGAAUCAUCGAAUCUUUGAACGCACAUUGCGCCCGCCAGUAUUCUGGCGGGCAUGCCUGUCCGAGCGUCAUUUCAACCCUCGAACCCCUCCGGGGGGUCGGCGUUGGGGAUCGGCCCUUUACGGGGCCGGCCCCGAAAUACAGUGGCGGUCUCGCCGCAGCCUCUCCUGCGCAGUAGUUUGCACACUCGCAUCGGGAGCGCGGCGCGUCCACAGCCGUUAAACACCCCAAACUUCUGAAAUGUUGACCUCGGAUCAGGUAGGAAUACCCGCUGAACUUAAGCAUAUCAAAAGGCCCGGAGGAAA